rnacentral:rRNA from 1 species
GACGAACGCUGGCGGCGCGCCUAACACAUGCAAGUCGAACGGAGUCAAGAGGAGCUUGCUUUUCUUGACUUAGUGGCGAACGGGUGAGUAACGCGUGAGUAACCUGCCCUGGAGUGGGGGACAACAGUUGGAAACGACUGCUAAUACCGCAUAAGCCCACGGACCCGCAUGGAUCUGCGGGAAAAGGAUUUAUUCGCUUCAGGAUGGACUCGCGUCCAAUUAGCUAGCUGGUGAGGUAACGGCCCACCAAGGCGACGAUUGGUAGCCGGCCUGAGAGAUUGGACGGCCACAUUGGGACUGGGACACGGCCGAGACUCCUACGGGAUGCAGGAGUGGGGGAUAUUGCACAAUGGGGGAAACCCUGAUGCAGCGACGCCGCGUGGAGGAAGAAGGUUUUCGGAUUGUAAACUCCUGUCGUUAGGGACGAUAAUGACGGUACCUAACAAGAAAGCACCGGCUAACUACGUG